rnacentral:rRNA from 1 species
UACGGGGGGAGCAAGCGUUGUUCGGAUUUACUGGGCGUAAAGGGCGCGUAGGCGGCCACCGCAAGUCGGUUGUGAAAUCUCUGGGCUUAACCCAGAAAGGUCAACCGAUACUGCGGGGCUAGAGUGCAGAAGGGGCAACUGGAAUUCUCGGUGUAGCGGUGAAAUGCGUAGAUAUCGAGAGGAACACCAAUGGCGAAGGCAGCUCGCUGGGACGGUACUGACGCUGAGGCGCGAAAGCGUGGGGAGCAAACAGG